rnacentral:tRNA from 1 species
UCCCAAGUAGCUCAGUUGGUAAAGAAUCUGCUUGCAAUGCAGGAGAUCCUGGUUUGAUUCCUAGGUUGGGAA